GUCUUCGUGGCUCAGUUGGUUAGAGCGUUGGUCUCAUACUCAAGUAUGAAUUAGUAGGAAACUAUUAGUGGCAUCCAAAAGUCGCGAGUUCGAGUCUCGCCGAGGACA
rnacentral:tRNA from 1 species